GAUGAACGCUAGCGGCAGGCUUAAUACAUGCAAGUCGUGGGGCAGCGCAGUGUAGCAAUACAUGGGCGGCGACUGGCAAACGGGUGCGUAACACGUACGCAACCUUCCCGUUACUGGGGAAUCGCCCAGGGAAACUUGGAUUAAUACCCCAUAUUAUAUUGAUUGGGCAUCUAAUUAAUAUCAAAGCUUCGGCGGUAACGGAUGGGCGUGCGGUUGAUUAGGUAGUUGGCGGGGUAACGGCCCACCAAGCCUACGAUCAAUAGCUGAUGUGAGAGCAUGAUCAGCCACACGGGCACUGCGACACGGGCCCGACUCCUACGGGAGGCAGCAGUAAGGAAUAUUGGGCAAUGGACGAAAGUCUGACCCAGCCAUGCCGCGUGGAGGAUGAAGGUCCUCUGGAUUGUAAACUUCUUUUUUCUGGGGCGAAAACCGGUUUUUCUAAACCAUUUGACAGUACCAGAAGAAUAAGCACCGGCUAACUCCGUGCCAGCAGCCGCAGUAAUAC
rnacentral:rRNA from 1 species